rnacentral:rRNA from 1 species
UACGUAGGGUGCAAGCGUUAAUCGGAAUUACUGGGCGUAAAGCGUGCGCAGGCGGUUUUGUAAGUUUGUCGUGAAAGCCCCGGGCUCAACCUGGGAAUGGCGAUGAAGACUGCAAGGCUUGAAUCUGGCAGAGGGGGGUAGAAUUCCACGUGUAGCAGUGAAAUGCGUAGAGAUGUGGAGGAACACCGAUGGCGAAGGCAGCCCCCUGGGCUGAGAUUGACGCUCAGGCACGAAAGCGUGGGGAGCAAACAGG